rnacentral:rRNA from 1 species
GACGGAGGGUGCUAGCGUUGUUCGGAAUCACUGGGCGUAAAGGGCGCGUAGGCGGCCUCAGGUGUCGGAUGUGAAAGCCCGGGGCUCAACCCCGGAGGUGCAUCCGAAACUCUGGGGCUGGAGGUCGGAAGAGGAGGGUGGAAUACCCAGUGUAGAGGUGAAAUUCGUAGAUAUUAGGAAGAACACCGGUGGCGAAGGCGGCUCACUGGUCCGGUACUGACGCUGAGGUGCGAAAGCGUGGGGAGCAAACAGG